ensembl:lncRNA
CCCCGGUGUGGGCGCAAUGCCACGACCCCCCCCAUCCCCCCCCCCCAGCCUUCCCCACCCCCCCGUGUUGGAGUGACGCUGCCGGCCGGGCUCCUCGUUCCCAGGGAGAUGUGGAGUGGGGGGGUCUGGAAGGGGGGGGGGAUGCUGGAGGGGUCCCUGAGGUUGGGGUGCAGCUCUGAGCCCUCUCCAAGUCCUCUCCCUGUGGGGCUCGGCGCUUGCUGCGCCCCACGAGCCAGGAGGGGUGCUGGGGGCAGAGGAGGGGUGGGAGCUGCGAUGGCCCACAGCCAUGGGGUGUCCCAAAGAGGGGCACAGCGCUGUCCCCAUAGCAAUAGAUGUCUCAGAAUGGGGCACAGCGCUGUCCCCAUAGCAAUGGGGUGUCCCAGAAUAGGGCACAGCAACAUCCCCAUAUCAACAGGGUGUCCUGGAAUGGGACACAGCACUGUCCCCAUAGCAAUGGGGUGUCCCAGAGUGGGGCACAGCACUUCCCCAUAGCAAUAGGGUGUCCCAGAGUGGGGCACAGCACUGUCCCCAAAGCAAUGGGGAAUCCCAUAGCAAUGGGGUCUGCCAGAGAAGGGUACAGCACUGUCCCCAAAGCAAUGGAUGUCCCAGAAUGGGGCACAGCACCGUACCCAUAGCACUGUCCCAACAGCACUGACCCCACAGCAAUGGGGGGGUCCCGGAAUGGGACACAGCACUGUCCCCAUAGCAUUGUCCCCAUAGCAGUGCUCCAGAGUGGGGCACAGCACUGUCUCCAAAGCAAUGGGGGGAGGGGGGUCCUAGAAUAGGGCACAGCAAUAUCCCAAAAGCAAUGGGGUAUCCCCAUAGCAAUGGGAUGCCCUGGAGUGGGACACAGCACUGUCCCCACAGCAAUGGGGCAUCCCAAAGUGGGACACAGCACUGUCCCCAUAGCAAUGGGGUAUCCCAAAGUGGGACACAGCACUGUACCCAUAGCAAUGGGGCAUCCCAAAGUGGGACACAGCACUGUCCCCACAGCAAUGGGGCAUCCCAAAGUGGGACACAGCACUGUCCCCACAGCAAUGGGG